GUGCUCUCAUUUCCAAGGUAUAAAUACUAACACUGGAAUAACCCAGAGAAGAUUGGCUUGACCCCUAUGCAGGAUAACAUGCAAAUAUUUGUGGAGCAGUCCAUAUUUUU